rfam:Streptococcus lutetiensis 033, complete genome.
UGUGCUAUACUUUUAAGCGUUGUCUUGACGACCCUUGGUGCUUAGUUCCCUUUCACCAAGCAUAUUACAAACGUUGGAAGCUAGCCUUUCAAACGUCAAAGGAGAAAAAAUG